rnacentral:lncRNA from 1 species
AAUAUGCCUCUAUCCUUUUUGUUUUCAGAUAUGCUUGAACCCUUGAAAGAAAUAUUUCUUAGCCUCCCAGAGACAUCAGCAUUUAGAGAUUCUGGUCUACGAAGCUGUGACUUCACUCAAAGCAACGUGAGCUCAGCAUCCUAAGAACUGCUGAGCCUCCUGUGACCUCAGGACCAGCCAGCUGCUGUUUGUAUUUUCACUGCUGGAAGCACAGACAUGAUCAACCUCUUCCUAAAAGAGACCGAGACUGAUGAGUUUACGUAAGUAUCCAUGGUGUGUAGUAUUUGCAAAGAAACAGACUCCUUCACAUUAUUAGAGAAGAUCCUGCUUGGUGCAUGUGGUUGAUGAUGGAGACAGAAGCCAACUAGAAUCUGUUAGGGGCCUCAAGAACAAAAAGCUAAGCCUGAGAAAAACAAAAUUAAUGCAGAUUUCAAAUGCAAACUUUAGUCUUUGUGGAGUAAGGUGAACCUGAUCACAUGAAAACAAGCAAUAUGCCAGCUUUUACAGAAUGACAAAGCAGCUUUGCAGGACAUCUAGACAACUUAUCAUAGCUUCAGGACCCCUUUCCUUCCAGAAAAAGUUCCAUCCUUAUCCUAAGAGAAUCCAUCCUUCCUCCAGCAGGGUAGGGAAUCUGCACCAUGCUCUAAUCUCUUUGAUCCUCUUUUCUCCCUCCUUCACUGGGAGCCUUCACUGUGGGAGAAGCUGGGGGGAGAGAGGACCCUCAUAAUUGCUUUUCCCCCCUCCAAUUAUGGUAUAAGAGAAUAUUAUUGAGAAACAGGUUUAAAAUUUUUGUGUCCUGGGUAGUCUUAGGUCCUGUGUCUCUUAAAAGCUAUGAGAGUCACAGUUUCUCAAUACAUUUCCCAGCAAAUUCUUGAGUAUAUAAAAGCUCACAGUAAGUUCCUAAGGGUAGCUCAACAAAUAUUUGAGUGCCUGACAUUUGUUGAGGGUACUAUGCAAAGAUGCUUUCCUUCAGUGUCACAUAAUACGGCAAAUAGAAUCUUCACUCUUAUGAACCCCUUCUCCCUGACCAGUCAGGAGCUUCCAUUAAAGAUGAGUGAGGAGUGAGUGACACUAUUAAGUUUGUG